rfam:Selaginella moellendorffii unplaced genomic scaffold SELMOscaffold_96, whole genome shotgun sequence.
GAAUGGGUUCAAAUUGUGACUAUAGCACUAGAUCCCAUUAAACUUCCAAAGUUAAGUGUCUUUAGGCUUGAAUAGUACUAAGCUAGAUGACCACCCGAGAAGUCUAAGUGACCUCUUUU